rnacentral:rRNA from 1 species
UACAGAGGUCUCAAGCGUUGUUUGGAUUCAUUGGGCGUAAAGGGUGCGUAGGUGGCGCUGUAAGUCGGGUGUGAAAUUUCGGAGCUUAACUCCGAAACUGCAUUCGAUACUGCGGUGCUUGAGGACUGGAGAGGAGACUGGAAUUCAUGGUGUAGCAGUGAAAUGCGCAGAUAUCAGGAGGAACACCGGUGGCGAAGGCGGGUCUCUGGGCCGAUACUGACGCUGAGGAGCGAAAGCGUGGGGAGCGAACAGG